rnacentral:rRNA from 1 species
UGGGGAAUUUUGCGCAAUGGGGGAAACCCUGACGCAGCAACGCCGCGUGGAGGAUGAAGUCCUUCGGGACGUAAACUCCUUUCGAUCGGGACGAUUAUGACGGUACCGGAAGAAGAAGCCCCGGCUAACUUCGUGCCAGCAGCCGCGGUAAUACGAGGGGGGCGAGCGUUGUUCGGAAUUAUUGGGCGUAAAGGGUGCGUAGGCGGUUUUGUAAGUCUUAUGUGAAAUCUCUGGGCUUAACCCAGAGGCUGCUUUCAAAACUGCCGUGCUCGAGUGCGAGAGAGGCCAGUGGAAUUGCAGGUGUAGCGGUGAAAUGCGUAGAUAUCUGCAGGAACACCCGUGGCGAAGGCGGCUGGCUGGAUCGCAACUGACACUGAGGAACGAAAGCUAGGGGAGCAAACAGGAUUAGAUACCCUGGUAGUCCUAGCCCUAAACCAUCAGGACUUGGGGUGGCCCGCGUAGGCGGGUCGUCCCGUAGCUAACGCGUUAAGUCCUGCGCCUGGGGAGUACGGUCGCAAGACUG